rnacentral:rRNA from 1 species
CGGCUAACUACGUGCCAGCAGCCGCGGUAAUACGUAGGGCGCAAGCGUUGUCCGGAAUUAUUGGGCGUAAAGAGCUCGUAGGCGGUUUGUCGCGUCUGCUGUGAAAGCCCGGGGCUCAACCCCGGGUCUGCAGUGGGUACGGGCAGACUAGAGUGCAGUAGGGGAGACUGGAAUUCCUGGUGUAGCGGUGAAAUGCGCAGAUAUCAGGAGGAACACCGAUGGCGAAGGCAGGUCUCUGGGCUGUUACUGACGCUGAGGAGCGAAAGCAUGGGGAGCGAACAGGAUUAGAUACCCUGGUAGUCCAUGCCGUAAACGUUGGGCACUAGGUGUGGGGGACAUUCCACGUUUUCCGCGCCGUAGCUAACGCAUUAAGUGCCCCGCCUGGGGAGUACGGCCGCAAGGCUAAAACUCAAAGGAAUUGACGGGGGCCCGCACAAGCGGCGGAGCAUGCGGAUUAAUUCGAUGCAACGCGAAGAACCUUACCAAGGCUUGACAUUCACCGGACCGCCCCAGAGAUGGGGUUUCCCUUCGGGGCUGGUGGACAGGUGGUGCAUGGUUGUCGUCAGCUCGUGUCGUGAGAUGUUGGGUUAAGUCCCGCAACGAGCGCAACCCUCGUUCUAUGUUGCCAGCACGUGAUGGUGGGGACUCAUAGGAGACUGCCGGGGUCAACUCGGAGGAAGGUGGGGAUGACGUCAAAUCAUCAUGCCCCUUAUGUCUUGGGCUUCACGCAUGCUACAAUGGCCGGUACAAAGGGUUGCGAUACUGUGAGGUGGAGCUAAUCCCAAAAAGCCGGUCUCAGUUCGGAUUGAGGUCUGCAACUCGACCUCAUGAAGUCGGAGUCGCUAGUAAUCGCAGAUCAGCAACGCUGCGGUGAAUACGUUCCCGGGCCUUGUACACACCGCCCGUCAAGUCACGAAAGUUGGUAACACCCGAAGCCGGUGGCCU